rnacentral:rRNA from 1 species
GAUGAACGCUGGCGGCGUGCCUAAUACAUGCAAGUCGAGCGAACAGACCAGGAGUUUGCUCCUCUGAUGUUAGCGGCGGACGGGAGCGUAACAUGUGUAUAACCUACCUAUAAGACAGGGAUAACUUUGGGAAACCGGAUCUUAUACCGGAUGAUCUUUUGCACCGCAUGGUUCAAUCGUUAAAUACGGUAUUUGUGUCACUAAUAGCUUGAUCCGCGCUGCAUUGGAUGGUUGGUAAGGUAAAGGCUUAUCAAGGCAAGGAUGUGUAAACGACCGGACGGGGUGGACGGCCACACGGGAACUGAGGCACGGUCGUGACGCCUGCGGGAAGACGCAGUAGGGAAUCUUCCGCAAGGGGGGAGAGGCUGACGUAGCAACGUGGCGUGAGUGCUGAAGGUCUUCUGAUCGUAAAACUCUGUUAUUAGGGAAGAACAAAUGUGUAAGUAACUGUGAACAUCUUGACGGUACCUAGUCAGAAAGCCACGGCUAACUACGUG